AUGUCUUCAUCCUCCGGCGCCGCUCAACCUAGCCUCAAUUGCCAGGUCACCGAGAAGCUCAACUGCACGAAUUAUGUGAUGUGGUGCACACAGGUCACACCCCACCUGCGGGGCGCCGGUGUCUUCGGCUACAUCGACGUCACCGCGCCGGAGCCGGCCAGACUCCACGUCACCAAGGACAAGGACGGCAAGGAGUCCUCUGAGCCCAACCCUCUCCACCCACUUUGGGUCCGGGAGGAUCAACGGGUGCUUGGUUAUCUGCUGAGUACCCUCUCCAAGGAGGUGUUGGUCACGGUCACCGCGAUCACCACGGCGCGCGAACUCUGGGUGGCCUUGGUGGGCAUGUUCUCGUCCCAGUCCCUCAGCCGCGUCAACAACAUCAGGACUGUGCUCAUCAACGCGCAGAAGGGCAACCAAUCGUAUCUAUCAAAAGGGUGCAUACCUAAGAAGCUCCCUGCCGUGUUUACUUGCUUGGAGCAUAUUUUUGUUGAGAUAUGCUUUUGGGACCAGAGGCAAGUCUUGACUGCUUGUUCACUAUUUCAGAAUGCCCCUAACUUAAAGAAGCUUGACAUGCGGGUACUAAUGGCUCCAGUAAAUCCUCCAUCUGACUUAUGUUCAUUCUUGUACUUACAGCACCUAAUGACUUGUGAGAAGAAAAUGCAGAGUCGCUUUUCGAGCACAUGGGAUCAGGAUCAGGAUCAGGCGAGUAUUCAAGAGCUUAUUGUGCAAAUGCGAAUGGACCAUCUCGUAAUGGCCAGUAUGAAAGGUUUUGAGGGUCUGGACUAUGAAGUUGAUUUCGUGGCUAAGCUACUGAGCUGGGUACCAGCUUUGGAAGAAUUGGGGAUAGAAUGGAAGCAGGGACGAAGCUAG
rnacentral:rRNA from 1 species